rnacentral:rRNA from 1 species
GUGAAGUCAUUGAUGCCAUGCUUCCAGGAAAAGCCUCUAAGCUUCAGAUUGUAAGGAAUCGUACCCCAAACCGACACAGGUGGUCGGGUAGAGAAUACCAAGGCGCUUGAGAGAACUCGGGUGAAGGAACUAGGCAAAAUGGUACCGUAACUUCGGGAGAAGGUACGCUCUCGACGGUGAAGUCCCUCGCGGAUGGAGCUAUUGAGAGUCGCAGAUACCAGGUGGCUGCAACUGUUUAUUAAAAACACAGCACUGUGCAAAAUCGCAAGAUGACGUAUACGGUGUGACGCCUGCCCGGUGCCGGAAGGUUAAUUGAUGGGGUUAGACUUCGGUCGAAGCUCUUGAUCGAAGCCCCGGUAAACGGCGGCCGUAACUAUAACGGUCCUAAGGUAGCGAAAUUCCUUGUCGGGUAAGUUCCGACCUGCACGAAUGGCGUAAUGAUGGCCACGCUGUCUCCACCCGAGACUCAGUGAAAUUGAAAUCGCUGUGAAGAUGCAGUGUACCCGCGGCUAGACGGAAAGACCCCGUGAACCUUUACUACAGCUUGGCACUGAACAUUGACCCUACAUGUGUAGGAUAGGUGGGAGGCUUUGAAGCGCAGUCGCUAGAUUGUGUGGAGCCGUCCUUGAAAUACCACCCUUGUAGUGUUGAUGUUCUAACGUCGACCCCUUAUCGGGGUUGCGGACAGUGCCUGGUGGGUAGUUUGACUGGGGCGGUCUCCUCCCAAAGCGUAACGGAGGAGCACGAAGGUGGGCUAAUCACGGUUGGACAUCGUGAGGUUAGUGCAAUGGCAUAAGCCCGCUUGACUGCGAGAAUGACAAUUCGAGCAGGUGCGAAAGCAGGUCAUAGUGAUCCGGUGGUUCUGAAUGGAAGGGCCAUCGCUCAACGGAUAAAAGGUACUCCGGGGAUAACAGGCUGAUACCGCCCAAGAGUUCAUAUCGACGGCGGUGUUUGGCACCUCGAUGUCGGCUCAUCACAUCCUGGGGCUGAAGUCGGUCCCAAGGGUAUGGCUGUUCGCCAUUUAAAGUGGUACGCGAGCUGGGUUUAGAACGUCGUGAGACAGUUCGGUCCCUAUCUGCCGUGGGCGUUGGAGAAUUGAAAGGGGCUGCUCCUAGUACGAGAGGACCGGAGUGGACGAACCUCUGGUGUUCGGGUUGUGUCGCCAGACGCAUUGCCCGGUAGCUAAGUUCGGGAUCGAUAACCGCUGAAAGCAUCUAAGCGGGAAGCGAGCCUUGAGAUGAGUUCUCCCUGAUACUUUAAGUAUCCUAAAGGGUUGUCGUAGACUACGACGUUGAUAGGCAGGGUGUGUAAGCGUUGUGAGGCGUUGAGCUAACCUGUACUAAUUGCCCGUGAGGCUUAACCAUACAACACCCAAGGGGUUU